AGAGUUUGAUCCUGGCUCAGGACGAACGCUGGCGGCACGCUUAACACAUGCAAGUCGAACGAGAGAAGAGGAGCUUGCUUUUCUGAUCUAGUGGCGGACGGGUGAGUAACACGUGAGCAAUCUGCCUUUCAGAGGGGGAUACCGAUUGGAAACGAUCGUUAAUACCGCAUAACAUAAUUGAACCGCAUGAUUUGAUUAUCAAAGAUUUAUCGCUGAAAGAUGAGCUCGCGUCUGAUUAGCUAGUUGGUAAGGUAACGGCUUACCAUGGCGACGAUCAGUAGCCGGACUGAGAGGUUGAUCGGCCACAUUGGGACUGAGACACGGCCCAGACUCCUACGGGAGGCAGCAGUGGGGAAUAUUGCACAAUGAGGAAACUCUGAUGCAGCGAUGCCGCGUGAGGGAAGAAGGUUUUAGGAUUGUAAACCUCUGUCUUCAGGGACGAAAAAAGACGGUACCUGAGGAGGAAGCUCCGGCUAACUACGUGCCAGCAGCCGCGGUAAUACGUAGGGAGCGAGCGUUGUCCGGAAUUACUGGGUGUAAAGGGAGCGUAGGCGGGAUCGCAAGUCAGAUGUGAAAACUAUGGGCUUAACCCAUAAACUGCAUUUGAAACUGUGGUUCUUGAGUGAAGUAGAGGUAAGCGGAAUUCCUAGUGUAGCGGUGAAAUGCGUAGAUAUUAGGAGGAACAUCAGUGGCGAAGGCGGCUUACUGGGCUUUAACUGACGCUGAGGCUCGAAAGCGUGGGGAGCAAACAGGAUUAGAUACCCUGGUAGUCCACGCCGUAAACGAUGAUUACUAGGUGUGGGGGGACUGACCCCUUCCGUGCCGCAGCAAACGCAAUAAGUAAUCCACCUGGGGAGUACGACCGCAAGGUUGAAACUCAAAGGAAUUGACGGGGGCCCGCACAAGCAGUGGAGUAUGUGGAUUAAUUCGAAGCAACGCGAAGAACCUUACCAGGUCUUGACAUCGUAUGCAUAGCUCAGAGAUGAGUGAAAUCUCUUCGGAGACAUAUAGACAGGUGGUGCAUGGUUGUCGUCAGCUCGUGUCGUGAGAUGUUGGGUUAAGUCCCGCAACGAGCGCAACCCUUACUGUUAGUUGCUACGCAAGAGCACUCUAGCAGGACUGCCGUUGACAAAACGGAGGAAGGUGGGGAUGACGUCAAAUCAUCAUGCCCCUUAUGACCUGGGCCUCACACGUACUACAAUGGCUGUCAACAGAGGGAAGCAAAGCCGCGAGGUGGAGCGAACCCCUAAAAGCAGUCUUAGUUCGGAUUGUAGGCUGCAACCCGCCUACAUGAAGUCGGAAUUGCUAGUAAUCGCAGAUCAGCAUGCUGCGGUGAAUACGUUCCCGGGCCUUGUACACACCGCCCGUCACGCCAUGGGAGUCGGUAACACCCGAAGCCUGUAGUCUAACCGCAAGGAGGACGCAGUCGAAGGUGGGAUUGAUGACUGGGGUGAAGUCGUAACAAGGUA
rnacentral:rRNA from 1 species